AUCUGCUUGGCCCCGGAGAUAUUUAGAGAACGGAAUUGUACUUUCUGUUGCUACAGCAGCUGCUCAUUUAGUUUGCAAUUUAAAAUGCACUCAUGGGAAUUUUUUCUUUUGUCUUGUGCGACAUGAGACUGUAAAAAUGUACGCAAUCCUGCAAAUGGACGAAAUUGAUCUAGAGGACACUUUUAUUAAAGCCUGAAAAACUUAUUUUUAUGUUGUCAUCCUUUUUACCAGUACACUAAGGGAAGCACUGUGGGAAGUUUAUUAUUCCUAUAUAAACCUAAUUAAAAUACUUUAAAGUUCUUGAGAUUUUCAUAAGACGGCGGCAACUUUAUCCCCGCUGGCCCACCUCCACAGGCCUUGUGCCGAGAAAGUCUUCCUAACAUUGUUGGUGUUUUUAAGCGACUUGGAAAACUGCAGUUUAGCAAGCAUUGGUAUGCAUUAGAUUUAUAAUUUCCCAAGCUUGAUGGCUUUGCUUCGGCGCAGUUGCAGGAUACUGAAAUCAUUUCGAUUAAAAGGUUCUGUUGCUGGUAUUAGUCAAGCUGUAAUUACGAAACUACUUUUCCGCGCUCAUAAACUUUCUGAUGGCUUUAAUGCUACUUUCAAACUAACAAACUAUAAGUCCUGGUAUUUAGCUUUUAAAUUUCAAAAUAAACCCAUAUAUACAUAGGUUUUAGUGUCAGAAUAAAUCAUUAAAAUAAAUAAUCAUUCAAGUCAUUAUUUCUGAAGUUUCAACAAUUUUAUUGUCAUUUUUCUAUUUGAUUUAUUUGUGCGAUGAGGCGCAUAUGCCCAAUAUUCUUUAAUAUUAAGAGUCCAUUAAUAUUGUCAUUAAGCAAACUUUUGUGCAGCUCUCGUUUACAAGUCAUUAGUCAUGAUGCACACUCGACAUUAAUUCUGAAUUCGACAUAAGUCGAAUCGAACCUACAGAUUCCGGAGUUCAUUAGCUGUCUCGUAGUUUCGUUAAAUUAUUAUUUCUGCUUUGCACCACGCUCACGUCACUUUGCAUUAAAACUGGCGUCGAGGAAGCAACAUUUUCCCUCAAGAGAUUUUCAGCGAAACAAUAUUUUCUUUCGAUUAAUUCGCAAUCAUUCGUUGCCUUGCAUUUCCGAAAUCACUGAAGCACGCUCGAGAAAAUAAUCAUAAUAAAUACAGACAACGGCGAGCGUCCGGCGGCUAUUAGCGAAUUUCCGUGGACCACUUACGGAGCAAAUUCCGUGGAGCCGUAAAUGUGAAUGUCGGGACUCCGGCGAACUGUGCACAAUUUUCACGCCUUCAACAUUUUAAUGGUGGCACAUCAUUGAGGGGGAAAAACACAAAUACAAAACGUUUUCACAUACUACGCAGAAUUUAAAAUUACGACGACCUCACGUUUCGUUUAAAUUACGUAAAAAAUUUUGGAUUAAUUUGCCGCAGAAUUUUAAUUAUAUUUUUUCUUUCA